GAUGAACGCUGGCGGCGUGCUUAACACAUGCAAGUCGAACGGUGAGGCCCUGCUUUCGGGGGGGGCUCGAGUGGCGCACGUGUGUGACACACGUGUGUCCUCCGCUUUUGUCUUUGGUAUACCUUGGAGACACGGGGUCUUACCCGGUACAGCAGUCCCUCCCGUGUCAUGGGGGUUGGAAGCUUUCGGUGGUUGGGGAUGGACUCGCGGCUAAUCAGCUUGUUGGUGGGGUAGUGGCUUACCAAGGCAUUGACGGGUAGCCGGCCUGAGAGGGUGACCGGCCACAUUGGGACUGAGAUACGGCCCAGACUCCUACGGGAGGCAGCAGUGGGGAAUAUUGCACAAUGGGCGGAAGCCUGAUGCAGCAACGCCGCGUGAGGGAUGACGGCCUUCGGGUUGUAAACCGCUUUCGGCUGUGACGAAGCGUAAGUGACGGUAAUGGGUAAAGAAGCACCGGCUAACUACGUG
rnacentral:rRNA from 1 species